GUAGGUGGCAAGCGUUGUCCGGAAUUAUUGGGCGUAAAGCGCGCGCAGGCGGUUCUUUAAGUCUGAUGUGAAAGCCCACGGCUCAACCGGUGGAGGGUCAUUGGAAACUGGAGAACUUGAGUACAGAAGAGGAAAGCGGAAUUCACGUGUAGCGGUGAAAUGCGUAGAGAUGUGGAGGAACACCAGUGGCGAAGGCGGCUUUCUGGUCUGUAACUGACGCUGAGGCGCGAAAGCGUGGGGAGCAAACAGGGAUUAGAUACCCUGGCAGUCCACGCCGUAAACGAUGAGUGCUAAGUGUUAGGGGGGUUUUCCGCCCCCCUUAGUGCUGCAGCUAACGCAUUAAGCACUCCGCCUGGGAGUACGGCCGCAAGGCUG
rnacentral:rRNA from 1 species